AAACGGGUGGUAAUGCCGGAUGCUCCAGUUGAUCGCAUGGUCUUCUGGGAAAGCUUUCGCGGUAUGGGAUGGGGUCGCGUCCUAUCAGCUUGACGGCGGGGUAACGGCCCACCGUGGCUUCGACGGGUAGCCGGCCUGAGAGGGCGACCGGCCACAUUGGGACUGAGAUACGGCCCAGACUCCUACGGGAGGCAGCAGUGGGGAAUAUUGCACAAUGGGCGCAAGCCUGAUGCAGCGACGCCGCGUGAGGGAUGGAGGCCUUCGGGUUGUAAACCUCUUUUAUCGGGGAGCAAGCGAGAGUGAGUUUACCCGUUGAAUAAGCACCGGCUAACUACGUGCCAGCAGCCGCGGUAAUACGUAGGGUGCAAGCGUUAUCCGGAAUUAUUGGGCGUAAAGGGCUCGUAGGCGGUUCGUCGCGUCCGGUGUGAAAGUCCAUCGCUUAACGGUGGAUCCGCGCCGGGUACGGGCGGGCUUGAGUGCGGUAGGGGAGACUGGAAUUCCCGGUGUAACGGUGGAAUGUGUAGAUAUCGAAAAA
rnacentral:rRNA from 1 species